AAGACUAUAGACCUGCGGAGUACCUGCGGAGGGAUCAUUACAAAUCUUUUGCGAGUGCUGCGUGCGUAAUUGUGCGUAGCAUUUCACAACAUUAGCACAGGGUCGCAAGGCCUUGAUGUUUACGCUUGUAUGUUUGACAGAGUUAGUUGAGAAAUAUAAAGACAACUUUUAACAACGGAUCUCU
rnacentral:misc_RNA from 1 species